AGCAGGGGGGGUCUCUCCUUCCCGGGGUGAGGUUUUGGCCGGAGUAGUAAGUUGGGCACAGUGGAACGGCCUGGUUGGACUGGGUUUUGGUGGCGGUGGUGGCGGUGGUGGUGGAGUGGGGGGUGGCGGAACGAACGCUUGUUUACAAACACUGGAAUUGUUAGCCGUUCCCAGAGCUACACGAGACGGAAGCGGUUCGAGUUUGGCAGCACGGAGCAGGUGGCUGAUGAAAUCUCGCAGCCGAGAGCGCACGACUGCGACCAAAUCAUUAAACGCGUCAAAUACCAACACUCCCACCCAAAACCGCGGAGAACACAGGCUGGGAAGCAGAGACAAUCUCAUCUCGUGCACCCAGCCUGGGCUCUCGCGUGUUUGUGUGUGUGUGUGUCUUUGACUUUUGUAUGGUGUGGGGUUUUAUAUAUAUAUGCUAUACAAGGCCCCCCACUGAAUUCAACAAAAUGCACAAAUGUGACUGAUAUUGACAGACGCAAACAUGUCCUUUAUUUCACCCGGGAAAGUCUCACCAGUGUCAUGUCUCUAGGAAACAUCCACUCUUACAAGUGUUUCGAAUUGUGGGGAGGAACCCCACAUUUUCGUGGGGAUAUCACUCUGCGUAGAUACAUUCAAUCCGCAUUUUUAAUGUCCCGCGUUUGACAAAUGGGUGCAAUUUUUGUGUGACCUGUGAUAUGUUAAGACGUUACGUUUAUCAACAACGACAACAAGAAAGAAAAUAGUGUUUUGAACGGAUGGAUGAAUCCAGUUAUGCGUUUUCGGGAUCGAACACUCAAACUUGUUUUCGCAGCUCUGUCGAGCAGAACGCUGAGAAAUCCGCAGGCAUUAAAUGACUGCAGUGCACGCCCAAGUUGAACAGAGCGCGAGAAGGUUGAGCUGCAUUGUGUACGGUGCCCUCAUUAAAAAUGCGAUGGACUACAUGACAAAAAGUCGACGUGACACGCACUUCGCCGUGACGUGAUGAACUCCCCGCCCAAAUGUUGCAUACGCCUGCAUUUUUAAUAACCAUUUAAUCAAUUCUAUAGGGCACGUGUGUUAUUGUUAGGUUUGGGGUGGAGAGGUGGACAGUGGUUAGAGUUAGUGUUAACCUCGAACCUCAAUUUGGCACGGUUGGCUACGUACGGUGCGAAAGAAGUUCAGGAUAAAACAACAGCUACACUGAGUUUAAUUACUCCUUUCUACAAUCCGCAGCCAAACGGCGUGGUGAAGUGUGGUCGAAACAACCUCCCAUUGGACGAUUCGGCGUGUGGGAGACCAUUCAAAAAUGUUUUCGGAACGACGGGCUCUACAAUCCACACGCUCUGUCAUGUCUGCAUGUCUCGUCGGCCUUCGAGGGGCUGCGAUUAACCGACUGAAUCCGACACAAGUCAACUGCGCUAUCAUCUGUGUUACCCGGAUCUGGCAGCAGCAGCAAGCGGCCUUGUUUCACACGAGGCAGCCGGGCAGGUGUCGGUGACAAGUUCACCCUCCCCUCCACUCCACCUCGCCGACCACAAAGUUAAAUGUUAACCCACAAAAACAACACUGCCAGUCAGGGCCGCCGCGCGCUCCCAACGUAACCCGCGUGUGCAACGGCGCAAAACGGGUGUCCCUUCAUUUACCGUAUUUCAAUGUAACGGUUGUACUGUAAUGGCAAUAGCCGUGACAAUUGUUUAUCCAUUGUAUAAACUAUGAAGCCUCGCCGCGCCCCAUACAAGACUCGUCGUCACGAGGGCCCCGCAACGUUGGGACGUCUCGACGAAUGAAUGCCACUCGUUUGUCUUCGUACGAGAGAAACCCAGAAGAAAAGCCACCACGCUUACGAGGGGGGUGACGCUUCGCACUGCCAUCUCCUGGCCACACCUCCCAUCCCCGCACCUACAGCACCUGGCAAGCCCUGUUGAUCACCAAUCGAAGUACUAGCUUGGGUGAAAAUGCUUAAGAUUCCGAGAUCUGUCGAACAUUUUGGGUGAUGUUGGUAGCAUUUUGGUAAAGGUGCGGCCCUGCAAUUGCUUGCUCACGCCACUGCAAGCAGAAAGGCCUCGACAGGAUGUAACUCCAGAGCCUCAAUACAGGGCAGGGUAUUUGGCCUACUUUUCCACGUUGGUUAUGAGGAUUGUACAGGGUGGUCCAGACGUUUUGUGACCCCCCCCCCCAUUAAUUGACCCCAAAACAUUUUAAAUUUUUAUCCUUUGCAUAUUCAUUUAUGGGUUUUUUUUUAAAGCAUUACUUUAAAAAUAUUAAGUGUUAGAGAAUUAAACGGGGGUCACAAGACACUUUGAGACCACCAUGGACAAUGAUCCAUCGCCCUUGCUAAUAAUGCGAGUGUGUGUGCGUGCGUGCGCGUAACAUCCACCUAACCGGGGCGUCGGGUAGGCAAGUAAACACGGCCCGUCGUAUCACAGCAGUUCGUUUUAUAAUCGGAAAAGUCGUGUUGCUUGCGUGCGUGUGUGUGUGUUUUUUCCCCUCGCAAGAAAGCCGAUGUUGGCUCGCAAAGUGUACAGUGCUCGCAUUGUUCUGGGGGCUUGCCCGGACUUGUACCGAGAGGCGGACGAGGCGGAGGCGCGUCUCGUUAAUUACCGAUCGAGCCUGGAAAGAAGAGGCCGGUGCCGCAAAGCGUUCGGCGUGUGGCAGGCAACACGCAACGCCAGCUCGGUUUGUUUGUUUUUAAAUCGCCGAUGACCGUUCCACGACAGACGAGGGAUAGACUUGAUUUGUAGCCACGCGUGGACUAUACGAGAACAUGCGCGGGUCCAUGGCAUCGUGCAAAACUUGUUCGGAUAGUUUUAAAGUAAGGUUUAUUUUAAAGAGAAAUGUUAGGGGGGGGGGGGGAGGGGGUCAAUGAAUUGGGGAGAUUGUGGUGGCCGAAAUCCGUGUGGUCGCUCUUGGUGGACCCGCUCACAUUUUAAGGAUCGUGAGCGAUGGUGGCGUCGGCAACUUUGGGAGAACUUCGUACAACAGUGUAUUGAACGUGGCUGAAAGAUUACACAUUUUACGCAGUCGUCUUGUUGAGGUUUCUGCGCGCGUGGGUUCUUUUAUUUUCAGCCAUAACCUCGCUGUUAUAGCCACUCGGCCGCGUGCGUUCCUGACUUCAAUAAUCGCGGUUACCUCUUCGCAUGAAUGAGCGCGUGCUCAUGAGUAGUUUAUGUUAAUGCGACACGCGUUUCUGGGGAUUGCCAAUUGCGACAAAACCUGUCGGGAACCCGCGUCACUGCAAUGGCAGCACCGCUCACGCGGCGGCGGCAAUCCCUUAUUACACACACGCACGCGCGGUGUGUGGCGAUUGACUUCUACGAAAUGUGAUGAACGCCAUUCCCACGUAUCUGCACUUUCACACCACACCAAAGCAAUGAGCCGUAAAAUCCUGCCUCGAUUACGCCUUGACAAUGCUCUUUAAUGCAAGCCCCGAUGCAGCAAUGAAAGCUACGUGCUAGUCAAAUGCCCGUGUCACCGCUCCUGACUCAACGUGAUAACCCUUGCGCAACUUGCGAUAACGCGGCUCUAAACACGCAGAGCUUGUAAUCGUCACACCUCACCUGAGUGAACUCACCGAUGUGAUCAGGCUACCCGUUUAGCCUUAACAGACUGUUGGGGCAAGUGCUGUGAGCGAGCACCUAUGAAGGCCGGCACGGCACACGUGGGUAUCCAGCACCACGCCCGACCGCCUUUGUCUCCCCAGUGGCGAUGAUUUUCCACACCAAACCAGGUGCUAUUUUGAAGCUGACGCAACCUAGGUGAGGCCCAGUUCAGAUAAUUGUCACUGGUGUUGACCGUGAGUGAGAAUCUAAUCGAAUGGGUUCGUAGCGCUAACCGCUACGCUACCGCCCCCCCCAAUACACACAUGAGUGCUGGAGCGUGAACGCUGACAAUUAAAAUCGCACAGCAUCCCUCUGAGACAAUGUUGGUAAUUCUACGCUCACUUCGCGGGCAAGUAUGUCCAGAGUACAGAUACUAGAAUGGCUCCUCACACACAAAGUGGUGAUAGAGUACUCGUUUUAUCGUGACUUCAGAGUCGAUAUUUUCAUGGUUGAUGGUGGAGGAGUCGGUACAGAUAUGAAGAAAUAAACUGCACUGAUGAUGUUUGGUGCUCAUGACGACGAUGAAUUGUAGAUGUUGCGUCGCGGUGGUGAUGAUUAUUGAUUAUAUCGGACCGGGUCGAUACACACGCACACAGACACGCGCUGUGUUAAUGCUGCCGCUUCAUCCUCCGCACACGUGUUCGGAACGUGUCACUUCACAGCUUCAGAACGCGUGCGUGCGUGCGUAAUUGUCGGUAGUCAAUUGUUUAAUGCGCGCGCGUUCCAUUGUGCAGUGGGGGUUAUGAUACUCGCCGCCCACCCGGUCUCCUUGUCUUCAGUGCCCUGCGAACUUCCUCCCCGUCUGCGCACGAUACCCGGAGACAGCGACACUUGCGCAAGGCCUCCGCGAGUUGCGUUUUCGCAAGGGAAGCGCAAUCCUGAAGGCGGCUGGAUAACGCGCGACUUGCCCAAACUAGAAUGCGCAAGCGAGACUGCGUGCGGUGGUGGUGGUGUAACUGCCCCACGCCAACGCGGCAACGGUUCGUUCACUUUCUAAAAAAGCCUCCCUCGAUCGCUGCCACGGGACACUGUUUUGUGUUUGCGCGGCGCUUUAACAAACUACCUGCGAGUGUUCGUGCUGUGCUCCCUCGCUUCGGCUCGUUAUCAUUAACUACUUUUUUUUAAGCAGCCUAUAGUGUCGACAUGAAACGUGCUCGCCGGACUGAAAGCGCCCACCGACCACGCGCAACUGCUCAUCAUCAGGUUCCGAAGCGGCCUGGGCCUCCUGGGUGCAGCAAGCGAGCAAAGGUGGCGCCUGUGUGGCAGUCGGACCCUGUCGAGCUGUGGGUGCGAGACGAGACGAGUGCUUGGUGAAGACCAAGCUGAGCUGCGGUCUUGGGGACGACGGUGUUCUUGGAUGCGGUAAAGCCGUGCCCGUCUCUCACUCGUCCCCCCGAACGCACACGGCUGGCUGAUUAAAUGCAUCGCACCACGUUGACACCAGGGCGCGCCACACGACAAAUUGAUCGAGCAGGAGGCAUGAAGAAGAGGUUUCGUGUGAAGCGACCGGCCAGGCAGCUUCCAGUGUUAUGCAACGGAUAAAGAGAUCCUGCUGCUGAUCUGAUUCUGAGCGAGACCUCUAGUGCCACGCCGGAACUGGCAAUGUUGAACACUGCUCAGUACACGGAUCACUUUCAUACAAAUACACACAAGGAGUGUGCUUGGGAAAGCAGGCUGGCCUCAACACAUACCUUCACAUGCAAGCCCCCCCGAGGGAUUCCAUCCGACGGCAAAUCUCGGCUCAGCAGCCUGCCGCCGUCUGCCGUGCCGCCAGAGGGCGACACUCGCAGCGACAUCCUCGGCGGAGCAAGGUUGUCUCAUUCCUGUGGUCGCCUCUCCACCUGCGCCCAUCAGGGGGCUCUCAUGUCCUAGUUCCAGGUCUCUGUCUGCCAGCCUUUUACCACGUCCGUCAAAUCCUGUCACGUUUCGUCGAUGGGUUCCAGCUCCAAGUUCGUCGUAUGCCCACUUGCCGGUUGUUAUUCAGAGGGGGUUCCAGAGGGAGUUCAAACCAUCUCUCUGGUAUAUUAGCCACUUGCCGUCUGCAGGAUUUGAACCUUGCACCUCGAGGCUCAUGAGAAGGCUCGCGGCUUGCCUCUUGUUGCAGCGAGGCCACCGUGUCUUCGCACAGAUGAAUCGUGCUCGAGGACGUGUAGUGAUUGCGCUGCGCCCCAGCCACUGUGGAAACGUACGCGAUGACGUCACUGCGUGUCAUGUUAAUUAGCAAAAAAAUCCAAUCUGGGAUUCGAACCCGGGUCACCAACUUCAAAAACGGCAUAGUUGUCCAUUACACCACAGUGGCUUUGUAGUGGCCUGUAAUGUUCCGAUUAUUAAAUCAUCGAUGAUUAAAAUGUUGCUUUAGGUGUACUUUUCAAAAUGUAAUAAAAAAAAUAAGUUGAACCGGGUGAACUUUCUCUAGCUGAUAAAAUAAAGGUGGGAUUUGAACCCAGGUCAUCAGCUUCAGUAGCAAAAGUUUAUCCACCUAGCCAUAACGUUCUAGGCAUGCACGGUGAUCUUAUUGUUGUUGUUUGAAACAAUGUUAUUUCAUGUAUAUAUUGUUUUUAAGUAAAUUAUUUUGAAAUAAAAAAAUCGUCAGCGUUUCUAAUUUCGUUAUAUUCGUCAUUCAAACUACCAAAAGAAAUACGAAACGGAAAUGUUGGAUCUGAACCCAGAACCUCAUGAGUUGCAGCCUCAUGCCGUUGGCCACUGAGGAGAUGCGACACAACGGGCCUCCACGUGGGUAUACCAGAGUGACUUGAACGGUGAAUAACACAGUCAGUGGAGGUUUCAGAGUGUGAGUAAUUAUGUAAUCACUGAAUGAAUAAAUGUAUUUUCGCAAGUGA